rnacentral:lncRNA from 1 species
CACGGGGUUAUAUGGGGGGCUAUGGGGGGAUAUGGAGGUCAUGGGGCCACCUGGGGGACUUAUGGGGUCAUAUGGGGGGUCAUGGGGUCACAUGGGGUCAUGGGGUCACAUGGGGGUUAUGGGGUCACACGGGAUCACGUGGUUAUACAGGUGGUUAUGGGUCACAUGGGGGGUUAUGGGGUCACCUGGCGGUCAUGGGGUCACCUGGGGGACUUAUGGUGUCACAUGAGGGGUCAUGGGGUCACAGGGGUGUUAUGGGGUCACAGGGGGGUUAUGGUGUCACAUGAGGGGUCAUGGGGUCACAGGGGGGUCAUGGGGUCACAGGGGUGUUAUGGGGUCACACGAGGGGUUAUGGGGUCACAUGUGGGGUUAUGGGGUCACAGGGGGGUUAUGGGGUCACAUGAGGGAUCAUGGGGUCAC